GUUGGUUUCCAGGUGCAGUUGGAGAUAUGAAGGGCUCAAGGCUACUGGAAUGCACUCAGAUGGAGCAAAUUUAUCCAGGCUGGACAGUGGAGGCUGUACCAUGUACAUGCCCCUACAGGGUAAAACUGGAGCAGCUUUUACUCUAAGGCUAAUUAUUUCCCACCACUAAGGAUUUGAAAUGGAAUAAUAAAGGCCUGAUUUGCAAAGUGGUAUGUAGAACCUACUUAGCAACAGGAAUAAGGCUAGGACUACAAAUGAGAAAAGCACUACAGUAUCAAUCUGUUUUGUAAAUUCUGGUGAGAGCAGAUUAUUAAGUGUUUGACAUACU